rnacentral:ncRNA from 1 species
AGAGUUUGAUCCUAGCUCAGAAUUAAUGUUAAUGUUUGAUAUAACGCAUGCAAGUUUACUUAUAAUAAAAAUUAUUUUAAGUAGCGCACGAGUGAGUAAUACGUAGAAACUAUUCUAAAAUUUUCAAAUUUAAUUUUGAUUAGUAAGAUUUUAUCAAUUUUGGAAAGGUCUGCGGAAGAUUAAGUUGUUGGUGGAAUAAAAGUUUACCAAGCUGAAAAUCUUUAGCUAAUUUAAGAGAAUGUAUAGCCACGUUGGAACUGUAAUAAGGUCCAAACUUUGUAAAAGGCAGCAGCGGAAAAUUUUGAGCAAUGAACGAAAGUUUGACUCAGUUAAAACAUGUGUGUGAUAGAAGAUAAAUUUUAUUGUAAAGCACUUUUAUUAUUUAAUAAAAUAUGAUAUAAUAUAGUGAAAAAGUCCUGGCUAAUUACGUGCCAGCAGCAGCGGUAAGACGUAAAGGAUAAACAUUAUUCGGAAUAAUUGGGUGUAAAGUACAAUUAGGUUGUAAAUAAAAUGUUGUAAUUAAAUUUUAAAAGUCUCAAACUGAUAAAUAAAAACAUAAUUAUUUACUAAGAGUAUUUUUGAAGAUUUUACAAUUUUAAGUGUAAGAGUGAAGUCUAUUAAUACUUAAAGGAAUAACAAACGCGAAAGCAAAAAUCUAAAAUAUUACUGACACUAAAAUUGUGAAAGCAUAGGUAGCAAAAAGGAUUAGGGACCCUUGUAGUCUAUGCUGUCAACGAUGAGAGCUCAUUUUAGCUUAAAAUCUAAAAUUUAGUUAACGCGUUAAGCUCUCCACCUGGGAAGUAAGGCCGCAAGGUUAAAACUCAAAGGAAUUGACGGGAAUUCAAACAAACAGUGGAACAUGUGGUUUAAUUCGAAACAACGCGAAUAACCUUACCAAUUUUUGUAUAAAGUUAAAUGAAACUUUACAGGACUGCAUGGCUGUCGUCAGCUCGUGUUGUGAAACGUUUGGUUAAUUCCAGGAAACGAGCGUAACUUUUAUAAUUUAAUUAACUUGUACUAAAUUAAACGGUUUAGAAAUACUUCAAAGGAAGAAAAAAACGACGUCAAGUCUUCAUGGUCUUUAUAAAUUGGGCUACUUUUUCAUGUGUUACAUUAAUAUUUAACAAUAAGAAAGCAAUAAUGUAAAUUGGAGCAAAUCUAGAAAUAAUAUUUUAGUUCGGAUUAAAUUUUGCAACUCAAGUUUAUGAAGUAGGAAUUGUUAGUAAUCGUAAAUUAGAACGUUACGGUGAAUUUGUUUAUGAAUUUUGUACAUACCGCCCGUCACGCUAUGAAAUUUGUGCUUAUUUGAAAUAAUGUAUAUAGCUCUGAAAAUUAUUUUGUAAAACAAAUUUUAAUUUUGUUUAGCUAAAUAAAAAUUUAAUGUUAAAAAAUUAUGAAAAUAAGCACAAAAAUUGAAGUGAAGUCGUAACAAGGUAGCCGUAGAGGAAUCUGUGGCUGGA